GCGGGUGUGGUUCAAUGGCAGAAUGCAUCCUUCCCAAGGAUGAGACGAGGGUUCGAUUCCCUUCACCCGCUCCA
rnacentral:tRNA from 2 species